rnacentral:rRNA from 1 species
GAUGAACGCUGGCGGCGUGCCUAAUACAUGCAAGUCGAGCGAACAGACGAGGAGCUUGCUCCUCUGACGUUAGCGGCGGACGGGUGAGUAACACGUGGAUAACCUACCUAUAAGACUGGGAUAACUUCGGGAAACCGGAGCUAAUACCGGAUAACAUGUUGAACCGCAUGGUUCAACAGUGAAAGACGGUCUUGCUGUCACUUAUAGAUGGAUCCGCGCCUCAUUAGCUAGUUGGUAAGGUAACGGCUUACCAAGGCAACGAUGCGUAGCCGACCUGAGAGGGUGAUCGGCCACACUGGAACUGAGACACGGUCCAGACUCCUACGGGAGGCAGCAGUAGGGAAUCUUCCGCAAUGGGCGAAAGCCUGACGGAGCAACGCCGCGUGAGUGAAGAAGGUCUUCGGAUCGUAAAACUCUGUUAUUAGGGAAGAACAAAUGUGUAAGUAACUAUGCACGUCUUGACGGUACCUAAUCAGAAAGCCACGGCUAACUACGUG